UGACCCCGUGCGGGAGAGUCCUCCGGAGAAACCUUUCGGAGGCGCCGAAGGAGCAAAUCCUCCCCGGAAUCUCUCAGGCACCCGGUACCGCACGGAUGAG
rnacentral:ncRNA from 2 species